AGCAGUGUGGUGUAGUGGUUUGAGCACUGGACUGUAUCUCUUUGGACUGGAGACCUGGGUUCGAAUCCCUGUUCAGCCA